UAAAAGGCGAUGAGUGUGUAAGUAGAUAUAUAUUUUCCGUCAGAGAGAAAGACUCACAGGCUGGAAGGUCUUUCAGGUUCAGAUAUAUAUUGAAAUUCCCACAGGAGCUGCAUUCACCAACAGAUUAUAAGUAUGAAUAAUACUAAAGAAGGAAACUAAUCUAAGUAAUGAAUGACGUGUGUAGCGCGUUAAGCAGAUAGAGUGUUCGUGAUAAUGAUUACGGAAACUAGGGUGGUACCGCGGAGCAAUCCGUCCCUAUG
rnacentral:ncRNA from 1 species